GGAAAUCUUGUUACCAAAUUUUACAAGUUACAAAAAUUUUACAUUAUUUUAUCGGAGUGAUUGCAAAAGUAUAAGUUUGAAAUAUAUGCUAGCUCAAGGGACCAUCCUCAUUAAGAAGUAUAGAAGGGUUACUUAAACUUAUAAGAAGGCCGAGCCCACCGGCACUUAACACCACCAUCAGCAGCACAAAACUAUGACCUGAAAAACAACAGGGAAUAAAACCCUGAGUACGCAAUUACUCAGCAAGACUUACCCGACUAAAGAAAAGACUCUCAAGGGUAUGCUGGCUAGAGGGAGUCAAGGUAAGGCUAAGCAAUAAUCAAGGACUCAUUUUGCAGAAGAGCUUACUAGUAGUGAAUCCUUAUGCCAAAAUUUUACUUCGCAAGUUAAGUACUUUUCCUGUAUCUAGAUUUGCCUAAUCUAUAGCAUUCACUUGUCCUGAUCUAGCUUUCUUUUAACCAACUACAAUCAUGUUUCACUUGUCAACUACGAUGAGUGGUCAGUGAGUCGAGUCUCCAUAACCGAGGAGCAACGACGAUUCGAACCGAUUAUACCCAGCUGGGGAUCCCUAACCACACGACAUAUGUAGCACUUAACCCUUGCAUAUGUCAACCGUUCCCAUAGAUCCUCCACAACGUGAACCGGUCCGCGCUACCCGGGAGCACAGUACUCCUCCAUCCAGCCUCUAGCCAGGAGGGUACACGCUACUCCCACCAUCUCCCACGCCCAGUGCGCGGUUGUCUUUUCACGUAUGGAAUAGCCAGGUUCAGGCUUACCGGAGCAUGUGGUUAGUUGCAAAGUCUCACCUCAUCAGGCCUACAUCGAACGGUCCUUAAUCGACACAGACGGGCGACCAUGUCCGCUCAACGUCUGGUCUAGAUGUAUUCUAACCAUUUUCCCAUUUUUGGUACCCAGCAGGGGUACUCUUUUCCAAAUGAUGAACCCACUCCGGCCGAAGUGGAAUCAUCACCAUAAGUUUGCUUUGAUUUUUGAAACGAAAGCCCGUAACCAAUGUUCCACAAUCAUUCUUUUUGAAAACAAAUGAUUUUUCAGUUUCUAAGCAGGGCUAAGCAUUAUGAGUUCUUUUUAUAAAACUAGGAUUAAGGAGUUUCCAAGGAAUGGUAAUGCAUCAAUUGUUUAUCACACAACUCCUAUCACCUAAUGCAUCAGAUAAGGUGAAAAAGCACUUAAAACACAAGGAAGGGGCAAAUGCACCGGGGCUUGCCUGGAAUAACACUACGUUAGUGUUUGUUAGACGAUGUCCGCUUGACGAGUAUCCCUCGACCGAGCACUUGCUUAAUUUAACCAUCUUCAGGUUGGUCCAUCAGCUUCAUCCUGCGGAUUUAGCCCGUGCUUGGGGUCGACUUGGCUCGUCUUCCGCAUCACAUGGUUAUUUAUCGUACCUCAUGAGAUGCACGAUGCACAUGUAUGAGCACAAGUAGAACGAGUAUAAGAUAGAUACUCUAUACUAAAAAGGAUGAAACACUUAAAAUCAAGCAUUAAGCACCAUGGAUAUCAUAGCAGAGCAUCGACUACAUUCAUUAGCCAAAUUGACCUAAUAACACUAGAAAAUCUAUUUUUAUUCCUAGCUUUUUAUUAACUCUCUAAACUGUGUAACUUAAUUACUUGAUUUAGCGAGCUAUCUAAAUCGAUCAUCACAAUAUACGCAUGCUAAAUUCAUAAUAUUUACUGUGACCAACAAUUCUAUUUAAUCUAUUUAUAGAC
rnacentral:lncRNA from 1 species